UACGUAGGGUGCGAGCGUUAAUCGGAAUUACUGGGCGUAAAGUGUGCGCAGGCGGCCGCGCAAGUCGAGUGUGAAAGCCCCGGGCUUAACUUGGGAAUUGCGCUCGAAACUACGUGGCUGGAGUGUGGCAGAGGAAGGUGGAAUUCCAGGUGUAGCGGUGAAAUGCGUAGAGAUCUGGAGGAACACCGAUGGCGAAGGCGGGUUGCUGGGCUGACACUGACGCUGAGGCGCGAAAGCCAGGGGAGCGAACGGG
rnacentral:rRNA from 1 species